CAUCAGCAUGGCUGGUUUCUACCCACGAAGGCCCUGUUCCUGUGAUGUAGUUCUGUACAGAGUAAUGAGAUGUGUGACGGCUGCAAACCAGGUGUUUUUUUCUGAGGCUGUGUUGACAGCUGCUAAUGAGUGUGUUGGUGUUUUGCUCGGCAGCUUGGAUCCUAGCAUGACUAUACAUUGUGACAUGGUCAUUACAUAUGGAUUAGACCAACUGGAGAAUUGCCAGACUUGUGGUACCGAUUAUAUCAUCUCAGUCUUGAAUUUACUCACGCUGAUUGUUGAACAGAUAAAUACGAAACUGCCAUCAUCAUUUGUAGAAAAACUGUUUAUACCAUCAUCUAAACUACUAUUCUUGCGUUAUCAUAAAGAAAAAGAGGUUGUUGCUGUAGCCCAUGCUGUUUAUCAAGCAAUGCUCAGCUUGAAGAAUAUUCCUGUUUUGGAGACUGCCUAUAAGUUAAUAUUGGGAGAAAUGACUUGUGCCCUAAACAACCUCCUGCACAGUCUGCAACUUCCUGAGGCCUGUUCUGAAAUAAAACAUGAGGCUUUUAAGAAUCAUGUGUUCAAUGUAGACAAUGCAAAAUUUGUAGUUAAAUUUGACCUCAGUGCCCUGACUACAAUUGGAAAUGCCAAAAACUCGAGUCUUUAAUUGUAAUGACUUUGUUUUAUCCACAGUUAAGCCUUUUCUCAUUACAUAUUUAUGUAUUUCACUGUCAUGUCAACAUGUCUGCAGAAUCACUGUAUGUAACAAACAGCCAUAUUUAAGACAUGCCUGGAUAAAUAAAAUUGGUAGGAAUGUUUUCUUGCCAUUAUAUUU
rnacentral:lncRNA from 1 species